rnacentral:lncRNA from 1 species
GCACUGUCCAAGAGUCGCAGUCCAGCUUCCCCAGUCAACUGUCGCCAUAGAGACGGAAGCUUGAGCUUGCAACAGAGGCUGAGUAGACAGAGGCUGAGUAAGAAUUUCGCUGUAGGCAAUGGCUUGGAGUUAAGACCUUCCAGGCUGCAGGAAAUGGAGAAAGGCCUCAAGGGAGAGACGUUCCCACCCUGAAGCGUGAGGCCAGUCCUGGAUGGAGCCCGAGAACUUCUCAGUCUGCGGCCAGGGACAGAGACCAGAGGAGGACUCCAUGAAGCUGUGGGAUUUGAAGAGGGACAGAGGAGCACUGGAGCCAGGAAAUGUGAGUGGCUUCUAGAAGCGAGGGGGGGGGGUGUCCUGUGUGAAAUGGAUUCUCCUCAGAGCUCCACAAAGAAACGCAGCCUCGUGGAACCAGCUUAGAUUUUAGUUCAGUGAGACCCUG